CCUUGACAUACUAAGAACUUUCCAGAGAUGGAUUGGUGCCUUCGGGAACUUAGAUACAGGUGCUGCAUGGCUGUCGUCAGCUCGUGUCGUGAGAUGUUGGGUUAAGUCCCGCAACGAGCGCAACCCUUUUCCUUAUUUGCCAGCGGGUAAUGCCGGGAACUUUAAGGAUACUGCCAGUGACAAACUGGAGGAAGGCGGGGACGACGUCAAGUCAUCAUGGCCCUUACGGCCAGGGCUACACACGUGCUACAAUGGUCGGUACAAAGGGUUGCUACCUCGCGAGAGGAUGCUAAUCUCAAAAAGCCGAUCGUAGUCCGGAUCGCAGUCUGCAACUCGACUGCGUGAAGUCGGAAUCGCUAGUAAUCGCGGAUCAGAAUGCCGCGGUGAAUACGUUCCCGGGCCUUGUGCACACCGCCCGUCACACCAUGGGAGUUUGUUGCACCAGAAGUAGGUAGUCUAACCGCAAGGAGGACGCUUACCACGGUGUGGCCGAUGACUGGGGUGAAGUCGUAACAAGGUAGGCGUAGAUGA
rnacentral:rRNA from 1 species